CAGGCUUCUCGCCUUCGUCCAAUCGCGUGCGAGGUCAUGGCCACGGCUCACACAGCAGUACAAGAGGACCAUUAAGCGAUGUUUGGUUUGGUGUUUGUAACUCUCCAAGAAGAGAAGACGGGUGCACAAUCCCAAGAUUGCGGAGGCUGUACGGCGUCUCUGAGGCACACUGCAGGCGCUUUGAACCAGAGCAAAGACUAACGUCGCCUCAUAACGAAGCCGUGACCUCCUAUUUGGUUGGGGCUAUUUUAGCAAGUCCACAUUUAAC